GACGAACGCUGGCGGCGUGCUUAACACAUGCAAGUCGAACGGUAAGGCCCUUCGGGGUACACGAGUGGCGAACGGGUGAGUAACACGUGGGUGAUCUGCCCUGCACUUCGGGAUAAGCCUGGGAAACUGGGUCUAAUACCGGAUAGGACCACUGACUGCAUGGGUGGGGGUGGAAAGCUUUUGCGGUGUGGGAUGGGCCCGCGGCCUAUGAGCUUGUUGGGGGGGUGAUGGCCUACCAAGGCGACGACGGGUAGCCGGCCUGAGAGGGUGACCGGCCACACUGGGACUGAGAUACGGCCCAGACUCCUACGGGAGGCAGCAGUGGGGAAUAUUGCACAAUGGGCGCAAGCCUGAUGCAGCGACGCCGCGUGAGGGAUGACGGCCUUCGGGUUGUAAACCUCUUUCAGCACCGACGAAGCGCAAGUGACGGUAGGUGCAGAAGAAGGACCGGCCAACUACGUGCCAGCCGCCGCCGUAA
rnacentral:rRNA from 1 species